GUAGGUGGCAAGCGUUGUCCGGAAUUAUUGGGCGUAAAGCGCGCGCAGGCGGUUCUUUAAGUCUGAUGUGAAAGCCCACGGCUCAACCGUGGAGGGUCAUUGGAAACUGGAGAACUUGAGUACAGAAGAGGAAAGCGGAAUUCCACGUGUAGCGGUGAAAUGCGUAGAGAUGUGGAGGAACACCAGUGGCGAAGGCGGCCUUCUGGUCUGUAACUGACGCUGAGGCGCGAAAGCGUGGGGAGCAAACAGGAUUAGAUACCCUGGUAGUCCACGCCGUAAACGAUGAGUGCUAAGUGUUAGGGGGUUUCCGCCCCCUUAGUGCUGCAGCUAACGCAUUAAGCACUCCGCCUGGGAGUACGGCCGCAAGGCUGA
rnacentral:rRNA from 1 species